rnacentral:rRNA from 1 species
AUUGAACGCUGGCGGCAGGCCUAACACAUGCCAGUCGAGCGGAUGAAGGGGGCUUGCUCCUGGAUUCAGCGGCGGACGGGUGAGUAAUGCCUAGGAAUCUGCCUGGUAGUGGGGGAUAACGUCCGGAAACGGGCGCUAAUACCGCAUACGUCCUGAGGGAGAAAGUGGGGGAUCUUCGGACCCCACGCUAUCAGAUGAGCCUAGGUCGGAUUAGCUAGUUGGUGGGGUAAAGGCCUACCAAGGCGACGAUCCGUAACUGGUCUGAGAGGAUGAUCAGUCACACUGGAACUGAGACACGGUCCAGACUCCUACGGGAGGCAGCAGUGGGGAAUAUUGGACAAUGGGCGAAAGCCUGAUUCAGCCAUGCCGCGUGUGUGAAGAAGGUCUUCGGAUUGUAAAGCACUUUAAGUUGGGAGGAAGGGCAGUAAGUUAAUACCUUGCUGUUUUGACGUUACCAACAGAAUAAGCACCGGCUAACUUCGUG